AUCCGGUUGUGAGGGGAAGCCUCUAGCAACUUCUUGAAUCUCUCCCAAUAUUCAUACAAAGUCUCCCCAUCUUGUUGCACAAUGCAAGAGAUCUUUCUUCGUAGCUU